GAUGAACGCUGGCGGCGUGCCUAAUACAUGCAAGUCGAGCGAACGGACGAGAAGCUUGCUUCUCUGAUGUUAGCGGCGGACGGGUGAGUAACACGUGGAUAACCUACCUAUAAGACUGGGAUAACUUCGGGAAACCGGAGCUAAUACCGGAUAAUAUUUUGAACCGCAUGGUUCAACAGUGAAAGACGGUCUUGCUGUCACUUAUAGAUGGAUCCGCGCUGCAUUAGCUAGUUGGUAAGGUAACGGCUUACCAAGGCAACGAUGCAUAGCCGACCUGAGAGGGUGAUCGGCCACACUGGAACUGAGACACGGUCCAGACUCCUACGGGAGGCAGCAGUAGGGAAUCUUCCGCAAUGGGCGAAAGCCUGACGGAGCAACGCCGCGUGAGUGAUGAAGGUCUUCGGAUCGUAAAACUCUGUUAUUAGGGAAGAACAUAUGUGUAAGUAACUGUGAACAUCUUGACGGUACCUAAUCAGAAAGCCACGGCUAACUACGUG
rnacentral:rRNA from 1 species